CUGUCCACCUAGCGUCUCUUACGUUAAGCCGGAUGUGUUCGCGUUCAGGUGGUCUCAUAAGACUAGAGUCGUGAGUCAUUCUCUCUGUGCUGACCACAGGCCAUUCAGAUGGGCUGAUGAUAAAGUCUGGAGGUGUCUGGAGAGGAGAGUAUACAAUAUGUCUGAGACAUACUACAACAAAGCAGCACCUUUCAAUGGGCUUUCGAACAGCA